rnacentral:rRNA from 1 species
GUUGAACGCUGGCGGCAGGCUUAACACAUGCAAGUCGAGCGGGGUGAUGGUGCUUGCACUAUCACUUAGCGGCGGACGGGUGAGUAAUGCUUAGGAAUCUGCCUAUUAGUGGGGGACAACAUCUCGAAAGGGAUGCUAAUACCGCAUACGUCCUACGGGAGAAAGCAGGGGAUCACUUGUGACCUUGCGCUAAUAGAUGAGCCUAAGUCGGAUUAGCUAGUUGGUGGGGUAAAGGCCUACCAAGGCGACGAUCUGUAGCGGGUCUGGGAGGAUGUUCCGCCACACUGGGACGGAGACCGGGCCCAGACUCCUACGGGAGGCAUAAGUGGGGAAUAUUGGACAAUUGGGGGAACCCUGAUCCAGCCAUGCCGCGUGUGUGAAGAAGGCCUUAUGGUUGUAAAGCACUUUAAGCGAGGAGGAGGCUCUUUUGGUUAAUACCCAAGAUGAGUGGACGUUACUCGCAGAAUAAGCACCGGCUAACUCUGUGCCAGCCGCCGCAGUAA